UAUCAGCUCUGACCAUACCAGGUGGGAUGAGAUCCAGAGCAUCUAGUGUGGGUUUAUUAUAGCUCUUCUCCUUACACAGAAUGGAUGUGGACCAGCAUGGAUGUUCUCUGGGGGCUGCUUCUGCGCUCUGGGAAAACCAGAAGACUUCCCCCACUGCGGCUGCUUUCUGCUCCCUUUAUCCCUCCAUCACCCUGUCCCCAGGCUGGUCUGUGCCCCAGCUGCCCCUCACUGCGCCUGACCUCUGCUCCCUGCAUACCUGGCAUUCCUCUGGGGGGCCACGGGACACUGCAAAGGCAUUUCUCCCUCUCUGGGCCACUCCAGAUGAGACCAGUGGGGACCCUCAGCCAUAUCCAUCCAUGCUGGCACCCAGCCCUAUGCUUUCUCUGCCCCAGAUGGUGUCUGAUGACCAGCAAGGCUUGGAACAUGUUUCUGUGAUUGAUUUGGUUGCCUGGAGCCCGUGUUGAUUUGAGACUCCAACAGUUUUGGUUUAACUUGCUGCACCCAGCCCAGCCAGGGCUCUGCAGGGAUCCUGAGGUUUCAUUCCCUCUCCUGGUCCCCAUUUCUCCUGACGACUGUGAGAGCCACCUCUCAGCUGAGCUGAAAGAGAAACACUGGGGCAGGGAAGGGUCCCUCUGGCCUUGAGAGACAGAGCUUGAGACAUCCCCCUUGAGGUGCUGGAAAUGAUCUUCCAUGCCUUGAUAGAACACAAGGAGGUGAGAGCACCCUGAGGCGAGACCUUGGGCAAUCAGGUCAACCUGAAAAUCACAGAACCACACACUGGUUUGUAUUGGAAGGGACCUUAAAGCUCACCCAGUCCCAACCCUCUGCCACCUUCCACUACACCAGGUUGCAUCCAGCCUGGCCUUGAACACUCCACUAGUUUAAAUCAUAACUGCACGAUGAGACUUAAUCAACUUAGCUUUGUAAAGCUCCCUCUCUGUCUUAUUUCACUCAGGCAAGACAUAACCCUUAGACCUUUUUGCCAUUACUGUGGGGUCUGGGUAAAGUGGAGGUUUCAAGCAGGGACAGUUUCAACCAUCCUUGCUCCCAUCCUACCCUCAGCUCUACCAACAGGAGGUGUUGAGGAUGGGGGGAGGGAAAAUCCCCACAUGGGUUGGGCUGGUUUUCUGGGUGAACAGCAAAGAAGAACAAGAAGUCAGAGCUAUUUAGGAACUUCCCUGCAUUAUUUCCUGACGGAGACUUGAAGCUCCAGAUAUUCCUCUCACCAAAAAGGGCAUCUUUUUAAGUGGAUUUACCUUUUCAGCUCUAACCACUGCUGGUCCCCCUUGCUUUUAGCUGUUUUGCCAGCAGGAUUAGGCUUUUCAUGAACUGCCCUUAGCAAUGUCCUGGCAGCUCACAUCAUGCACCGGAGCCUGUUUCCCACUUCCAGACACCUUCUCCUUCCUUUUCAACAUGUCCCCCUGCUGCCAAAAGUAACUGAACUCUUGAUCUUCAAUUCUUUUUAUGCCUUUGCCCCAUUGAAGCAGUGCAGAACAUUACUCAGAACUGAACCUGCCUCUCAAAGCCACAGCAUGCAGUGUAAGCUCCUGCAGUCAGAAGUCUCCUGACGUCUCAUAUAUUCAAUCUGUUGAUGGAAGCUGUUCUUUUGCCAUGAUACCUUUUUCACAAGCUAUAUAUUCACCCUUGCUAGGGCUUCUCAAAUCAAACUAAACUGAUGUGUCAGGGCUCCUGGCUUAUGCCAGCACAACGAGGGUUCUUGAGAGUAAAUCACUGCAUUUGCAAGGCUGGAGCUGGAAGCUGGAUUUCUGCUCCUGGGGGCCAGCCUGCAGAGAAAAGCUCGUCCAGGCCAUGCAAGGAUACAAAAGAAUACAGAUCUGGGGUGAAUUUGGGGAGAAAAGUAACAAUUGCAUCCACAGUGGGUUGCAUUAAAGCUUGCAGAGGCAGAGGAAGGUCCCAAAGUAAACGAGUCCACCUGGGAUAAUCAGGAAUAGCUCUUCUGGGCAGGGCAAAGCCUGAGGAGCAGCGCUGAGGGGAAUGAAAGACAAACUGCUUUUUCCUCAUGCUCUCCCUCUCGUUAUUAUCUACACAUAAAUUAUUCACAUUCUUUGCAAGCCGAGUCUUGUCUUGACUGAAGGGGUUCAGAUCAUUAGAAACACAACCAUUCUCUGCAUAGUUCAUGACAAAGGAAGCUCCAACAGGUUAGAAGCAGGGGGGAAAAGGGAUAGAAUUCCUUCUGCUGCCACUUCUGCUCCCGAGAGUUUCCUGAGGGCUCUGGACUCCUGAUACCGGAGACUCCUGGAUACCCAGCAAGAAAGAAGCCACAGCAUGGAGAAGAUGGAAGGAUCUCCAAGAUAGGCCAGAGACCCCAUUGUGUGUAAGGGUGGGAGCAUCACCCAGGGGGAGAGACCAGAGAUGCUGUGCAUGGCCUCCCCUUGUGCCCUGCACAGAUUUCCAGGUAAAUUUCAUUCUAUCCUUUUAAUAACUGAAUGUGCCUUUAAAAGAUUCCAGUUAAGAGCUAUCUCAGAGCAAACAUGAUCCAGCCCAGAAAUGCUGUUUCAGCAUUAUCCGAAUGCUCAAGGUCACUGCAGUUUGCUGCUGCUUCACCCCCGUAGUGGCAUUUUGCCAUCAGCAGUUCCAUGAAAUGGCUCAUUUUUGAUAAAUUCUCAGGUUUGGAUGGCAAGGGAGGAGCACUGGAUGGUUUCCAAGCAGUUCCAUUACAGAUGCCAAUGUUUUUCAUGGAGCCUCUCUCACCCUGCUUUAUUGAUCACCAAGACAUGACCUCAAAGUGUUGAGUCUGGCCAAUGAUGGGGUCUGGAUGACCAUCCCCCUGCUGCCUCUGUGGGCAGCUCCACCGUAGCACCCCUAGUUCAAGAAGGAAUACCCUCUUUAAAAGGGGCAGGCAGAGCCAUGGCUCAGCUAGUAGGAAAGGAGGCUUCUAGAAGGGAUUGGUGAGCCCCACACCAGACCUCUGUCCCACAAGCUGGCAGAGAACAAGUCAGCUCAGUGCUGGAAUGAGGCUUCCACCUCAUCCCAGGGCCAUCAGGCUCGUGCUGGAAGGCGAUGCAGGGAAGCAGCUCCCAUAAGUCCUUCUGCUGAUGAAGACAAGGCUCUUCCAACUCCAGCUCGUGUUGGAAGUCAGCCUUUCUCUUCCCUAACAUAUGCUUGGGAUGCCUACUGGGACACAUGGCUGCCUGCUGGGGCUGAAACCCUGGGGAGAAUGUCCUGCUGGCACAAGAGCUAAUGAAGUAUUUGCACUCUACUCUCCCUGUGUGCUAUUAUAUAUGUAUAAAUGUAUCUAUAUAAUGGAUGUAUGCAUAAAAAGCAGAACAUGAAUUGGAUAUAAACAUAUGUAUAUAUAAGCAUACCCAGAACUUACUUGCAAGUAAUUACAAAUGAGGAACUUGCACACUGCCAUGGUCUCAGCAGGCACAGCUCCCCCUUCUCCCUCCCAUCUUCCUGCGUCACUGUCUCUGUUAUCUAGCUAAAAAUAAAGGAGUGUUGGGCACCCAUGUGUCCCAUGGGUGACCACAUGAUAAACAUCAA